GGAUGUGAGGGCGAUCUGGCUGCGACAUGUCACCCCAUUGAUCGCCAGGGUUGAUUCGGCUGAUCUGGCUGGCUAGGCAGGUGUCCCCUUCCUCCCUCAACGAUCCAUGUGCGUCCCUCCCAAAAUUCUAACACUGAAACAUUCUAAAAUUUAAAAGAUUUGAGAGCACUGACAUAAGUAGCAAGUAGAAACUGCCCACCUGACCUCCUGCAACGGUUGCCAUCAAGGUACAGGUGUGCAAAAUGGUGCCUUCCACAGCCCCAAAGCACAUGGGUACAGGGGCGCAGGCCUGUAAUUCCAGGUAC
rnacentral:sRNA from 1 species